GUCGAGGAGCAAAAACCAACCCACCCAUGACUCACAGGGCCCUGGAAGCAGAACGAGGCGCCCCAACCCAGACACUUGGGCUGCAUUGGAGAGGACAGAGUUGCCGUCCUGACCUGCUGUGAGCAGUGUGGCUGUGGCAAGAGACAGAUCAGCUCUGGGGGGAAGCCUCAAGCGAUGAAGCCAGGUCCCAGCACAGUGCAGCACGUCGGAGACCCUGCGGCACGUCGGAGACCCUGCAGAAGGGCCUAUUCAGGUCGCUGGUGGACGCUCCCCUGCACUCAAGUCACCAAAUCCCACAGAGGGUUGGAGAAGAGGGGGCGGCUUUGCAGUGAGACAGACCUGCGUUCGAAUUCCAGCUUUGGUUCAAAUGACGAGCUGUGUGCCCUGGGGCAAGUCAUUUGUUUAGUUUUUGUUCAUCAACUUCCUCCUCUGUAAAAUGAGAAUGGACUUGAGUAAAAACAUGCCUGUGAAGUAUUUAGCAAAGAGCCGGCACAGGGUAAUCACUCACUGCAUAGUUACUACUGUCCUGGUCAUUGUCAUGACAAUUACCAGUCACUCUCUGUUUCCUUCCUGACUUUAGACGGCACAUCUAAAAGCCCCCACGACAACAUCUGACACAACGUAACGAGAUUGUAGCGCUGUCUAAGAAACAACCCUGCAAAGCAGCCACAAACUAGGCUCUCAUCCCGACGAUUUGAGCGCCCUGGUUACAUGGAAGUUUAAUUUCUUCCUGGCUAAAUCUAGAACGUGGGAAAUUCUGCAGAAAUAAAUGACCUAGUUUCUUGAACAGAAUAAACUGCAUGGGAAGAGGGGAAUGCAGGUGUGACAGGUGUAAAGAAAGCAGCCGGUGUGUGUAGGCCCUGGAUAAAACCUGAUUGAAACACAGUGACUGUAAGAAGGUCCCUCUCCCCACUUUUUUGAAAACCUCAAGAAAUUUGAGCAUAAGCCAAGUAUUAGUUUAAUUGUUAGAAAUCUUGUUAGAUAUAAUUGUAGAAGUGCAGUUAUGGGCUAAAUAUGUUUAUUUAUUAAAAAUACAUGAGGAAGUACUUUCAGGUAAAAUUGUAAUGCCUGGAAUUUGCUAGAAAAUCUCUGAGGAGAGAUCUGAGGGUGGGGAGAUGAAAGAAGCCAGGCAUGAGCCGGGGGAGGUACAGAGGCUGAGGCUGAACACCCUUCACUCUUCUUUCUACUCUCAUGUAAUGUGGAUGUUUCUAUAAUGAAGUAAGUAUAAAAGUCAACAAAACCUCCCACUAACCUAACUGUGUCCGGGUUUCCGAGGUUCCCGGUUUCAGCUCAGCUGCCUGUGUUCUGGGGAGGGACUCCUCUCCAGCUGAGGGAUCCGCGGGGACUGGCUCCCUCACACACACACAGCAGCACCUGCUGCCCGGGCACUCAGGCCUCUGCCUUACACCCUCUCUACCACGCUAGACACGCAGGACCCUGGGCCAGUGACCUAACCCCUCUGCACCUCGGAGCCUCCGUGUCAAACUGGGCUUGGGGAUAUCAAGCCUCUAGGCUUGUGUCUGCUGCAUAAGAAGCCCUCCAAAAGCAUUGCUCCACCCCUCUCUCGGGCUCUGUUCUCUCCUGGUCUAUCUAAACCUCAGAUGGCUACAGAAGCCCAGCACUCUGUGAGCCUGUCAGGGGAGCUGAUGGCCCCAGUGAUGCAGGCCUGGCAGUCUGGGGUGAGGAAGACAGCUCCAAGCCCAGUCACCUCUCCCUUCCUGUGCCUAUCUGUGAACUAGAGCUUCAAGCAGCUCCAAAUAAACUCGAGAGCUCCUGGCUAUGCAACAUUGAUAUCUUGGCCUCGAAGCGGGAAAUCUGAGCCAACUUAAUAUCUUCCUUGAAUAAUCUGCUAAUUUUGAUGCCAGGAGCACUUCACCAGCUGUCGAUAGCUCCAGUGAGAAAUGAACCAGAAGAGACACGUUUGACCUGCUGUGGAUUCAGAUCCAACCACACGUGUGGGACUUGGGAGACAGGCACGUGGGUGUGCACGUUGUCAGCAGGGGCUGGCUUCAGACUGAGGCUGAACACAUACAGGAGCCCAGACCAGGUGGCCUUGGCCCUUGUAGGCGAUGGUGAGAAUACUGAUUUGUAUUAAGAGGAAUGAAAGAUUUGGAGAGGAAGCAAUUCUGAUUUUCACCAUCAAAUGACAAGAACUGAUCUUCUGCCUUUAAGUAGUUAUAAUUAGGUCAUUGCAAAAUUAACAAAAUUAAUAAGCUUAUAUCUGGGAGACCUCUUAAGACAGCAGUGUCCAGCUGGGUAAUGGCACGGAUUAUGCCCACACAGCCUGGCCACUCUGUUGGGGGAGCAGCCCCCGCUGGAGCAGCCUAGGGAGAGGAUGCAGGCCUUCCCCAUCAGCUCAGCAGCUUAUGGCUCAGUGGGUUUAGAUGCUGGUAGUAAGCUCCUCACCCUCUUGCCCAAUGUCUACAAAGGGUUGUUUUGUUCAUGAUGUCCAGAGGUCUAGUUGCUCAUGACAGGUGGAUAAGUCCAGUGACUCCACUGGGGCCUGAGGCAGAAUUGUUGCGGCACCUCCUCGUUUCUCCCGUUCCCUCCCCUAUCCCAGGCAGGUCCUGGCUAAAGACGUCCUUGGCCAGCUGGGUGUCAGGGGUAGGAUCUUGCCCCUCAACUCCUGGCCACAGGGGGACUUUCUCCUUAUCUACAGCCCAGGCCAAUAGUCUCUUUCUCUGUCCUUAAGGGAUUUAGGGAAUAGCCGGUCCUCUCUCACCCUCGAAUGGAUCACAUGUUAUUGAUCUCAUGUGUCACCACCCAGGGUAGGUUUCUGUGGCCUGCAUCCAACUCCAGGCAGGCGCUGCUCCUCGUCUCCCAGGCACCACAGGCAUUUUCCUCCGUGUGCCCUCUCAGAGGCUGUGGUGGUGUGUGUGGAAAGAGCCUGCACCCCUUCUGUGUCAACUUCAUCACCAAUUAAGUAAAGCUUGGCAUCCUCAGAGGAAAGAUUUUAUUAUAAAUUCUUAACAUAUUUAGAAAUAUCAGCAUAAUCAUUAUAAUGCAUUAUUCAGUUAGUUAAAUGUGCUUUAAAAAAAAACAUGAAAUAUAUCUUCAUUGUACAGGCAUCUGUUGUUUCUUGCAAACGAUUAUCUGUCACUGAAUCAUCAAUUUUUUAUUUUAUUGUGUGUCUAAGGCUAUUUGUUCUAAUUAAGGCGCAUGCAUGGUGCCAAGCAGGCUUGCCUGACUGUGGAAGGGGCUCCAGUCCUGCUUUGUCUAACAGUCCUGAAUGUGCUGGAUGGGCAACCCCAGGA
rnacentral:lncRNA from 1 species